CCCACUGACCCAUCAGAGCCUCUCUGGCCUUUUUCUUACAAACCCUGUACUACACUAAAUAUCAUCAAGAGUUCGUCACUACAAAAAAAGUCUCAUCAAGCCAAACAUGCGGGAGAGUUUGGGAGAAACUUUGACUUAAAUCUUUGUGUAACCAGCGUAAAAAUUCUACUCCGUCAGCUACUCAGGCUCACAACUUACUCGAAGCUCAACCUAAGUUCAAAUAACACUGAGAUAUUUCUCCCAGACCUUAGCAAACACCAUUGUUCUACUCGGGUAAAUUAAAAAAAAC
rnacentral:lncRNA from 1 species